ACAAGCUGAGUGUAAAUUAUACUCUCAUGCCAUGUCUCUUUUCCAAAUGUAUGUCUCUUUGUCCUGUCUCAGUAACAGACCAGCCAGAUCGGAUUCAGCCAGAAACAGAAGUCUACUGUCGAACUGACCCACCUGUGACCUGAAGAAUGGAACCUGACUGAAAGUGCUGACCUGGUAUACAGCUAUCUAUGAGCCCUCCAUUUCAAUGAGAAUGCUGCACGAGACCAGGCCACCACGUCCACAGAUCCCCUCUACAGGAUCCAUUACUCCAAUGCCAUGAAGAGGGAGGCAAGAGUGAAGCCCGUAUAAAAUGAGGCAACAUCUGGAUGCGUUGAAGACGUGGGCCUGAGAAGGAGGGGGUGAUCACCAGCUGCAUCUUCCGCUUCAACGCAGGGGAGGCAGUCUGAAGCCCAUGUAU